AUACAGGGCUACUGUCUUGUAAUUGGAAUGAUGGUGACUUAAACCCUCACCAGAGUACCAAUUGGAGGGCAAGUCUGGUGCCAGCAGCCGCGGUAAUUCCAGCUCCAAUAGCGUAUAUUAAACUUGUUGCAGUUAAAAAGCUCGUAGUUGAAUUUCAGCGUUUCGCGUGUGCCUCUUUUGGCCCAUCUCGUUUCGCUUUUUUUAUUACUUUGAGAAAAUUAGAGUGUUUCAAGCAGGCUUUUGUCUUGAAUACUUGAGCAUGGAAUAAUAGAGUAGGACCUUGGUUCUAUUUUGUUGGUUUUGUUACCUUGGUAAUGGUUAAUAGGAACGGUUGGGGGCAUUCGUAUUUAA
rnacentral:rRNA from 1 species